rnacentral:rRNA from 1 species
CGGCGAACGGGUGAGUAACACGUGGGUAAUCUGCCCUGCACUCUGGGAUAAGCCUGGGAAACUGGGUCUAAUACUGGAUAUGACCUUUCUCCUUAUGGGGUUUGGUGGAAAGUUUUUCGGUGUAGGAUGAGCCCGCGGCCUAUCAGCUUGUUGGUGGGGUGAUGGCCUACCAAGGCGACGACGGGUAGCCGGCCUGAGAGGGUGAUCGGCCACAUUGGGACUGAGAUACGGCCCAG